CUGACUUCAUUCGAUGUUUGUACUGUGCAGUGGACUCCACAUCCCUCACUUGCAUUCUUAGGCAGAGCUGCCAUGCAAACAAUAUAUAUUUAGAUAGUGCCUCACCCAACACUGAUGUGCAGCCACCUCUUGGAUGGAAUGUGACAUAUAAAAACCACUGUGAUAUAUUGUCUUACAGCAUGGGAUUCUCUGCCUCAGCAAGAAGCUGAUACUUAGCCACAAUAGACGGAUUUUCUCCUUUAGCUGAGUUGUUGCAGGUACCAUAGAGAGGAAUGAGGCAGCAUCUACAGCACCUGGAGACCUGGAACUGAGUUUGCUGACACCAAUGACUUAACUACAGUUGUUUGAGGUGAAAUGGAGACUAGACCUGGUGAUCCUCCCAUUAUUUCUAACAGAGAAAGGUCACUGUUAUGGCUGCCUGAACCAAAGUGUCACUCUGGCUGCACCAGCAGGGCAAUUUGUCAGUGCCAGGUCAUCUGUUUGGACUUUUUUCUCUCAUUACAUCACCUCCAUAUUAUUCCUCUGUCACACCUGUCUUGAGGUAUAGAAUAACCUGCUCCUGAAUCCACAGGACCCUGCUGCAUUCCAGACGUAAAAUAGCUCUGCUAAGUGGUGCAUAGGCAGAGAAAAUAAAAAGGUCUCUAGGCAAAAGAGAAGCAUCUUCUUGAAUGCUGCAGUCCCUCAAAAGGUGUUUCUGUUUAAUCUGAAAUUACAAGAUGUAGGUAAUUACAAACUGUUUAAUCUGGAUUACAAACUGUAGGUAAUGCAAGAGCAAAUAGCUAAAGCCAAGAUGUUAUAAUCAGCUCUGGGAUGGAUCCCUGUACCUGCAGGAAGAUGAUUGUGGCAUGGGGGCCUAAAAUGAGGGGCUUUGUCACUGACUGGGGAGCUGAUCAUAUAAGGAGGGACAAAGUGUAAUUUGUGAUGUUCAGUGAUCACUCUGAGGAAAUGAGUCUUACUGAGGUCUGCUUUAUUUAGUACCUAGUUGUAACUGACCAGUACUGCAUACAUGAGCCCUUCUGUAUGUGGUUCCAAAUGGCAUAUGCUGGGACCUCUUAAAGGUACAAUUUUGCACAAAACCUUUUGGCAGGUGUGUUACAUGUCUUCCCCACUGUGCCCCAAUAAGGGGCUGUAACAACUCCUAUCUUCUCUAAGUGGAAUUCUGGAUUUCUAGCUCAAGUGGUAGUUCAUACCUCUGGCUCAAGCAGUGCAUGCUUCUGGCACUAACGAAGCCAGGUUCAAUCCCUGGUGCUUUGUCAGGAGUUGACUGUCACAAAAGUGCUCCUGCACUUUGUUACAGCAUCUAUAUGCUGCUUGAGUACUGACUGAAAUCUCUGACAAGCCUCUACCUCAAUGGACCAGAGUGAAAAACAGCAUUCUUUUAAUGAGACGGAAAGCAUAUUGCCUCUUGUUUCACAACAGGCAAACUUUAGCCAAAAUGCUCCCAUUUGGCUAAUCAGAGCUAGGCACUUAUGACUGGGACUUCUAAAGGAGCCUCAUAGUAAACUGGGUUCCCAAAUCCUCUCUCAAGUGCCUUUGAAGACCUCCUCCUUAAAUCAGUAACUUGAUUUUUCUGGAGGUUCUGAGUUCCCAGUGCCUAUUGCAGGAGCAAUGAAUGCUCCAUGCCACUGAAAAAUGAGAGAGCUUGCCUGUGUCCUCAAAGACAGAUUUAGGUUCCUAACUUUAGGCACCCACGUCUGAAACUGUUGGCCUUUCUGAGCUCAGCUUGAGGUAUUUCUACACUGCGAUACUCAGUCCUCCCUUCUAUUCUGGUGUCCUUUCGCCUACUCAAAAAAUGCAGCCCAUGUUAAAAUAGUCAACUCAAGGAAUUUUCUUUCUUCCCUCUUCCCAACUCAUUCACAUUGACUAUUUUUGUCCUGAGUCACUUGGUCUCAUUUCAAAACGAGGCUCACAAACCUCAAGUGAAUAAAGCCUGUCUCUUGCCUGAAAGAAAAGCAAGAACUGGGUCUUAGAGGUCUUUGCUGGUUGAUCUUUCUCCAUAGUAGAGACUGUAUAUCUAGCUUUGUUGAGGCAGCUUGCUCCUAUCUCUGCUUCACUGAAACAAGACACAGCUGGGACUAGCCUCCCCAGCUCCUCUUUGCAAGAUCUUGAUUUUCAUGGAAACAUAAGUCACUCUGACAUUUCAAAAGAUCUCUUCAGUGCUGGGGAUCAAAGGCUCCAGCACCUUCCAUCAUGAAACAUUGUGCCAGCAUUUUCAUAACAAAAUAGUUGUGUGCCCUGCUCCACAGACAUCACUAAUGGCAGGCUCAGGGAACACCACCUCAGUACCUGGUAGUUGAGAUGUAAUAAAGCCUGCUAUACUUAGGAGCACAUUGGCACUUCCAAUUAUAAACCCCUAUUUUCAGGCUUUCAAAAUGGUCUCAUUUUAAAAUUGCUUUUAGCAAACAGCCUCAACUUUGGGAUAUUUUUUUCUCAACUUGUUCUUUAAAAAACAACAACAUUGUUUUUGACUAUUUUGAACUACAUGUUCGAAAAAUAAACAGAGGUUUGAUGGCU